rnacentral:rRNA from 1 species
GACGAACGCUGGCGGCGUGCUUAACACAUGCAAGUCGAGCGGAGCGGCGAACGGGUGAGUAACGCGUGAGUAACUGCCCCCCUCUCUGGGAUAACAGUUGGAAACGGCUGCAAAUACCGGAUAGUGGGGGAUGACUCGCGUCCUAUCAGGUUGUUGGUGGGGUAGUGGCCGACCAAGGCGACGACGGGUAGCCGGCCUGGGAGGGCGACCGGCAACAAUGGGCUAAGAGACGGCCCAGUGGCCGACGGGAGGCAGCAGGGGGGAAUAUGGCACAAUGGGGGAAACCCUGAUGCGGCAACGCCGCGUGCGGAAUGACGGCCUUGGGGGUGUAAACCGCUUUCAGCCAUGACGCGGUAGUGGCAGAAGAAGCACCGGCUAACUACGUGCCAGCAGCCGCGGUAAUUC